ensembl:lncRNA
AAGGGGAGGCAAUGUUCUCUUUCUGGAGAUCUCUGUAUACCUGAGGGCUUCUCAAGAUUACUGAGACAAUGCUUUUGAGCAACUUCUGACUACCACUGAUGUAAAGAUAUCCCAUUGUCUCUGAGAUUCUGAUCAACUGAAGCCAAUCACUGUGGUUGUGAACACUUUGGGAAAUGCAAAAUGUGUGUUUUUUCAUUCUGAUGACUUACUUUGAGAAUCUAAAGUUCAAGAGUACACUUGGUCAGUAUUGAUUCCUUGGAUGAAGACCAAAAGUAAAGAAGAAAACUCAGGCUUUCCUCUGUUGUAAGCAAAUGCAUUGUGCACUCUGACAGCCUGAAUAAGGCAAGGUUGCACUGGCAACAAAGUAACCUGUUAGUGUUACAGAGGAUAACACCGAGUUGCUGAAGAUCAUAAAAUGCCCAUAAAAAAGAAGAAAGAGUAUGUAAAUAAAGCAAGUAAGAUAACAACAAGAGCACUAAUUUUUCAUGCCCCUUUGGGACUGCUUUGGACUGCUGAAAGCAAGAGAUAAGAUCACUGGAUUCACCUGGAGAUUACAUUUACUUCAGAUAUGUGCAGAAGGGACUCAUGAGAAAAGGAAGUAUUUACAUUCUGGCAUGUUAAUGAGUUUCCAUCUUUUUUUUCACCUCUCUUUCCCCUUGUUCACUCUUGUAAUGUUUGUUUGUUUGUUUUCCAUCUGUUAAAAGAUGGGGAAUAUAU